rnacentral:ribozyme from 13 species
UUUUUUAAUUUUUGCUUUAUUUUCCUUCAGGAUUUUCGUCUUCACAGUUGGGGGAAUUUGAAUGAGGAGGAAUAGGAGACAUUCAGAAGAAGAGGAUAAGAGAAGAGA